rnacentral:rRNA from 1 species
UACGGAGGGGGCUAGCGUUGUUCGGAAUUACUGGGCGUAAAGCGCGCGUAGGCGGACCUGCAAGUCGGGGGUGAAAGCCCGAGGCUCAACCUCGGAACUGCCUUCGAUACUGCGGGUCUCGAGUCCGGGAGAGGUGAGUGGAAUUCCGUAGUGUAGAGGUGAAAUUCGUAGAUAUUAGGAAGAACACAGUGGCGAAGGCGGCUCACUGGCCCGGUACUGACGCUGAGGUGCGAAAGCGUGGGGAGCAAACA